AUAACCAUUUCUUUUUCUAAAUUUAAAUAAAUAACCUUCUUUUUUCUAAAUUUGAAAUAAUGACCCCUUUUUUUUUGUGUGCUGGUGGUGUUACCACAGGUUUGUGUAUGCGUCUAGUGUGGUUGGGAGUCAUAGACUCUUGCACUGCCGCUGGAUAGCUUAUAUUCAUAGGUGAAAAGAAAGCUGAGUGCGUAAGUCUUUCCUUCCAGUACAUAGCCUCUACACUAACAAGACUUCUACAGUGCCUCCCCGUGACAGCACAUGGUAACUAGGAUCUAGUGUCCUAGGCUUAACUGUAGAGGAUCUCGGAGUAGCAAGGACCCUAGAGAUGAAGUGUGUAGGCCGAUCGACGUGCGGACAUCCCUAGCACUCAUCAACCUUGCCCCAGUUAUGGGUUAAAUAGCCGGCUGAAUGAUGGUCAUCAGCCUUGAAAGGAUGUCUAGGAGAAGAAAACUCUGAUAUGAAAUUUUUGGUAGAUUUGACUCGUCAGCCUUGGUCUGCAAUUGAUCUAAAGGAAAAAAAGCUUGAGUAAAGAUUCUCUGGUUCUCCAGGUUUGGGAUUGAGAGAUAUGCCAACAACCUAUCCUUGUAAAAAGGAAGAAUGAUUAUAUACCAAUUAAUCUCCCAGAUGAGGAACAUCACAACCGGGUCUGCAUGAAGCUUUAACAUUAAAAAGACAAGUUAUCCUGGAUAUUUUGAAAACACGUAAAUGAUUUACUGAAGGAAAAUCGAAGGAAAGUAGGACCUGGAUGUAAAAUAAUACCAACUUUAAGACAAAGCGUGCUUGUUAAUUUAGAAAUCAACUGAAGCAGAAGAAUGGAUUCUGUUGAUCUGAGGAACUUGGAAACACUUAUUGACAAAAAAAAUAUGUAGUAAUACAUUUAUGUUUAAAGAGAGAGAUAGAAAGAGGGGGGAGAGCCAGUUGUAAAGAUUUAUUCUUUUAAACCAGAUAUGUUGAUUACAUUCGAAUUUCAUAGGCCUACAGUUCCCCCCUAAAUGGUCUUAGUUAAUACAUGUACUAGGUGUUUAAUGUAAGACUUUGAUGGGACUUGUGAGAACAAUCAGCUGCCAUUGGUUUAAAUCUAUUUUUAUGCCCUUUCAGUUGGGGGGGGGGGGCAUAUUGUUUUACCCCUGCCCUUACGCUCUACCAUCCUAUUAUAGGUCUAUAGAUAUAAGAAGAUGUGAAAUUGGUGACAAUGAGACAACUCUCCAUCCAAUUCACAGCUAUUCCAGAUAACUACUCCUAGAGUUUAAUGAGUUAUCUCCCAUAUUUGUAGGUACUUUUUGUCUCGCCUUGACGGAGUCAAAAAGCAAGACAUAGGUAUGCUGUUUCCGGCGUCGGCGGCGAUGGCGUCAACAAUGUAUUAGUUUGUGAUUAGGUCUAGUUUAUGGUGAACCACAAGUGGUAUGUCAAUCAUAUUUGGUAUGCAGUUGUAUAAGCAUUGGCACAUCUAAUUUCCAUCGAGAUUAUUUGGCCCUGCCCCCUCAGUCAUGGUCUAUUGACUUCGAAACUUUUGCUUAUUUUACAUGUAUUAGUUUGUGAUUAGGUCAGUUUAUGGGGAACAACAAGUGGUAGGUCAAUGAUAUUUGGUAUGCAGUUGUUUAAGCAUUGCCAUAUCUCAUUUCCAUGGAGAUAAUUUGACUCCGCCCCCUUAGUCAUGGUCUAUUGACUUUGAAAAUUUUUCUUAGUUAUCAUGUAUUAGUUUGUGAUUAGGUCAGUUCAAGGGGAACGAUUAGUGGUAGGCCAAUGUUAAUUGGUAAUCAGUUGUAUAAGCAUUGGCACAUCUCAUUUCCAUGGAGAAUUUUUUGGCCUCGUCCCUCAGUCACAGUCUAAUGAAAUUUAUUGGCAUUUGCAAGUAUUGUUUCCAUGGAGAUUAUAUAGCCCCAACCACUCUUCAUGGUUCAUUGACUUUGAAACUUUUACAUAGUUUACAAGUUAAUUUGUAUUUAGGUUUGGGAACGACUUAUAAUAAGUCAAUGGUAUUUGGUAUGCAGUUGUAUUAGCAUUGGCACAUCUCAUUUACAUGGAGAUUGUUUAGCCAUGUAACUCAGUCAUGGUUCAUUGACUUUGAAUAUUUGCAUAACUUGUGUAAGAUGUUAAAGUAUGUCUAUUUUGAUUUCAACAUUUGCAUAAUCAAAAUUACAAAAAGGCGAGACAUAUCUCUGUGAUAACAGUUUAUGAUAUUUUGAUAUUUCCUGAUAAGGAUAAUGCAAAUAGAAUAUUUAACUUGUUUUUAAAUAUAACAAACUGAGCAUAAAUUGUGAGGAAUGGAAACUAGCAGGCUGAGUUUUAGGGUUAAGGGGAGGGAAUACACUUGUUUAUCUCUUCAUAUGAGCUAGUUUUGUUCACUGCAUGGAAGGCCUGCAAUAAAUUAGAAUGUAUUAGUUUUAUAUAUAAUUGUUAUAUAUUUUUUGUUAGAUAUGCUAUAUAAGAUGUAAAUAAAGUAAGAUGACAGUAUUAUUUAGAGCUCUGUAAAUAAAAUCGACUUGUAAACAGGUCUAGAUAAUGCAUUAAGUGGAUUGGUCUGACAUUGGGAUUUCAAAUUAUAUUUAUGUCGUCAUCAUCUACAAAAGUGCUUCCAUUCUCAAUAUUAUCUGAUAUUAAACGCCCCUUCCUCCCAAUUAUGACUUCAUUUUAAGUUUAAUGAGUUAUCUUCCAUAUUUAUAGGUACUUUUGGUAACAGUAUUUCAUGAUAAGGCUAAUGCAAAUAGGAGACAACUCUUGUUUUUUGUAGAAAAGAAGAUUUAACUUGUUUGUAAAUUUAAUGGUAAAUCCUGUGACUUCGUAAAUUUUUUCUUAGCUUUAAAAUAAUAUUUAAAACCCUGUCCAUGAAAUUGAACAUUGCUCCUCUUGAUUUUAGUAAGUGAAUUCUUUUGCAAUAGUUUAAAAGAAAUGUCAAAUAGUAUUUCAUAAUGCAUUAGAAGGAAUGGUAUAUUUUAUAGAAUGCUAGUAUUGUUUUACUUGUAUGUUUAGUGGUCACUAAAAAUGUAGUAUAUUAUUAUUUGUUUUCCUAUUUACUAUUAUCAAGUGGAAUAACAUCACCUAAUUUACCUGUUUGCUAGUUCAUAACGAUUGUAAAGUUGAAAUUUCUGUAACAAUUAAACACCUAUAAUUCUUCCCUACAAUGUACGAGUUUUUUUUAAAGCAGGGUGUAUUUUUUUUCAAUAUUGCCAUAUUCUUAUGUCUUAAGUAGCAGUAUUAUAUAAGGUGAUUGCUACAUAAAUCAUUUCUCAUUUUAAUAAAUAACAUUUAUUUGAA